rnacentral:tRNA from 3 species
GUCGUCGUGGCCAAGCUGGUUAAGGCACUGCGCUGAUAACGCAGAGAUCGUGGGUUCAACUCCCUCCGACGACACCA